UACGUAGGGGGCAAGCGUUAUCCGGAUUUACUGGGUGUAAAGGGAGCGUAGACGGUUGUAUAAGUCUGGAGUGAAAGCCCGGGGCCCAACCCCGGGACUGCUUUGGAAACUGUGUAACUUGAGUACAGGAGGGGCAGGCGGAAUUCCUGGUGUAGCGGUGAAAUGCAUAGAUAUCACGAAGAACUCCGAUUGCGAAGGCAGCUUACCAGUCUGCGACUGACGCUCAGGCACGAAAGUGUGGGUAUCGAACAGG
rnacentral:rRNA from 1 species